AGCAGCCGCGGUAAUUCCAGCUCCAAUAGCGUAUAUUAAAGUUGUUGCAGUUAAAAAGCUCGUAGUUGAAUUUCGGGAUCAAUAUGUCGGUCGUGCCUUCGGUACGUACUGGUAUCAUUGGUUUCUCCUUUCUGACGAACCAUGAUGUCAUUAAUUUGGUGUUAUGGGGAGUUAGGACUGUUACUUUGAAAAAAUUAGAGUGUUUAAAGCAGGCUCACGCUUGAAUACAUUAGCAUGGAAUAAUGAAAUAGGACGUUUGAUUCUAUUUUGUUGGUUUCUAGGAUCGACGUAAUGAUUAAUAGGGAUAGUUGGGGGCAUUAGUAUUCAAUUGUCAGAGGUGAAAUUCUUGGAUUUAUUGAAGACUAACUACUGCGAAAGCAUUUGCCAAGGAUGUUUUCAUUAAUCAAGAACGAAAGUUAGGGGAUCGAAGACGAUCAGAUACCGUCGUAGUCUUAACCAUAAACUAUGCCGACUAGGGAUCGGAUGAUGUUAAUUUUUUAAUGA
rnacentral:rRNA from 1 species